AUUGAACGCUGGCGGCAUGCUUUACACAUGCAAGUCGAACGGUAACAGGGUGCUUGCACCGCUGACGAGUGGCGAACGGGUGAGUAAUGCGUCGGAACGCACCGAGUAAUGGGGGAUAACGCAGCGAAAGCUGUGCUAAUACCGCAUACGCUCUGAGGAGGAAAGCGGGGGACCUUCGGGCCUCGCGUUAUUCGAGCGGCCGACGUCUGAUUAGCUAGUAGGUGAGGUAAGAGCUCACCUAGGCGACGAUCAGUAGCGGGUCUGAGAGGAUGGGCCGCCACGCUGGGACUGGGAAACGGCCCAGAAUCCUCCGGGAGGCAGCGGUGGGGAAUUUUGGACAAUGGGCGCAAGCCUGAUCCAGCCAUGCCGCGUGUCUGAAGAAGGCCUUCGGGUUGUAAAGGACUUUUGUCAGGGAGGAAAUCCUUAGCGCUAAUACCGUUGAGGGAUGACAGUACCUGAAGAAUAAGCACCGGCUAACUACGUGCCAGCCGCCGCGGUAA
rnacentral:rRNA from 1 species